GAUGAAGAACGUAGCGAACUGCGAUAAGUAAUGUGAAUUGCAGAAUUCAGUGAAUCAUCGAGUCUUUGAACGCACAUUGCGCCCCCUGGCAUUCCGGGGGGCAUGCCUGUCCGAGCGUCCUUGCUGCCCUUCAAGCCCGGCUUGUGUGUUGGGUCGUCGUCCCCCCCGGGGGACGGGCCCGAAAGGCAGCGGCGGCACCGCGUCCGGUCCUCGAGCGUAUGGGGCUUUGUCACCCGCUCGAUUAGGGCCGGCCGGGCGCCAGCCGGCGUCUCCAACCUUCUAUUUUACCAGGUUGACCUCGGAUCAGGUAGGGAUACCCGCUGAACUUAAGCAUAUCAAUAAGCGGAGGA
rnacentral:misc_RNA from 1 species